UACGGAGGGUGCGAGCGUUAUCCGGAUUCACUGGGUUUAAAGGGUGCGUAGGCGGGCAGGUAAGUCAGUGGUGAAAUCUCCGAGCUUAACUCGGAAACUGCCAUUGAUACUAUUUGUCUUGAAUAUUGUGGAGGUAAGCGGAAUAUGUCAUGUAGCGGUGAAAUGCUUAGAUAUGACAUAGAACACCAAUUGCGAAGGCAGCUUACUACACAAUGAUUGACGCUGAGGCACGAAAGCGUGGGGAUCAAACAGG
rnacentral:rRNA from 1 species